AUGAUAGAUACAUGUAUAUGUAAUCUUCUGAUUCGUAGUAAACUUUAAAGUUAUGCCUUCUGAUUGGUCUCACCUGGUCAGAGAAGACCUUUAUUUAUAUAUCAUCCAUUCGAAAUAACAACAUCCUGCAAAAUUUAAAUCUCAAGUUUAAGAACAAUAGGGUUUGCUUGUUACCUGCAAAACACACCUGUACUGAGGUAAUUAAACCUUAUUAAAAUGUACAUGUAUGACAUGUCUUUAAAUAAAGGCAACAGUAGUAUACCGCUGUUCAAACUCAUAAAUCCAUGGACAAAAAAAAAUCGGGGUAACAAACUAAAACUGACGGAAACGCAUAAAUAUAAGAGGAG
rnacentral:lncRNA from 1 species